rnacentral:rRNA from 1 species
UACGAAGGGUGCUAGCGUUGCUCGGAAUUACUGGGCGUAAAGCGCACGUAGGCGGCUUUCUAAGUCGGGUGUGAAAUCCUGGAGCUCAACUCCAGAACUGCCUUCGAUACUGGAGAGCUCGAGUCCGGGAGAGGUGAGUGGAACUGCGAGUGUAGAGGUGAAAUUCGUAGAUAUUCGCAAGAACACCAGUGGCGAAGGCGGCUCACUGGCCCGGUACUGACGCUGAGGUGCGAAAGCGUGGGGAGCAAACAGG